CUUGGUUGAUCCUGCUAGUAAUCAUAUGCUUAUCUCAAAGAUUAAGCCUUGUAUGUGUAAGUAUGAACCAAUUUAGACUAUGAAACUGCAAAUGGCUCAUUCAAUCAAUUAUAGUUUGGUUGAUAGUAUCUACUACUCAGAUAACCAUAGUAAUUCUAGAGCUAAUACAUGCAACAAACCCUAACUUUUGGAAGGGAUGCAUUUAUUAGAUAAAAGGUUAGUGCAGGCUUUGCCUGUUGCUCUAAUGAUUCAUGAUAACUUGAAGGAUCAGACAACCUUUGUGCCACUGACACAUCAUUCAAAUUUUUAUCCUAUCAACUUUUAAUGGUAGGAUAGUGGCCUACUAUUGUGGUGACAGGUAAUGGAGAAUUAGGUUCGAUUCCAGAUAAAGUGCCUAAGAAACAACUACCACAUCCAAGGAAAGCAGCAGGCACACAAAUUAGCCAAUCCUAACAUAAGGAGGUAGUCAUAAGAAACAACAAUACCGAGCUCUAUAGUUCUAGUAAUUGGAAUGAGUACAAUCCAAAUCCUAUACUGAGGAUCCAUUUGAAGGCAAGUCUAGUGCCAGCAGCCAUAGUAAUUCUAGCUCUAAUAUCAUAUAUUUAAGUUGUUGUAGUUAUAAAACUUAUAGUUGGAACUAGGUUUGGGUCAUCUGAUUUACCUUAUGAUGAGCACCAAUCUACUCAUCUUUACUGUCAGCAAUACACUAUUGGCCUUACUGACCAGGUCAUUCCUCCAACACUGUUACUUUGAAAAAAUUAAAGUGCUCAAAGUAGGCCUACACUUGUAUACAUUAGCAUGGGAUAACAUCACAGGAAUUUGGUCCUGUUACAUUGGCCUUUAGAAACUGAGUAACGAUUAAUAGGGAUAAUUAAGGGCAUUUGUAUUUCAUAGCCAAAGGUGAAAUUCUUGGAUUUAUGAAAGACAAACAACUAUGAAAGCUUUUGCCAUUGAUGUUUUCAUUAAUCAAGAACAAAAGUUGGGGGCUCAAAGACAAUUAGAUACCGUCCUAGUCUUAACCAUAAAUGAUGCCAACUAGGGAUCAAUGGAUGUUACUUUUAGGACUCUGUUGGCACUUUAUGAGAAAUCAAAGUCUUUGGGUUCUAGGGGGAGUAUGGACACAAGGUUAAAACUUAAAAGAAUUGAUGGAACGGCACCACUAAGAGUGGUGCCUGUAGCUUAAUUUGACUCAACCUAGGAAAACUUACCAGGUCUAGACAUAGUAAGGAUUGACAAACUGAAAGCUAUUUCUUAAUUCUAUGGGUGGUGGUGCAUGGCUAUUCAUAGUUGGAGGAGUAAUUUGUCUAAUUACUUUCAUUAAUGAAUGAGACCUCAGCUCGUUAACUAGCUAAGCAGAGGUGAUCCCUUGUGGCUAGCUUCUUAGAAGGACUAUGGCUACUUAAGCCAAGGAAGUUUAAGGCAAUAAUAGGUCUUGUGAUGCCCUUAAAUGUUUUAGGCCACACCUCACUACAUCAAUGCAUUGAACGAGUCUAUAGCAUUGGCUAAUAGGCCUAAGUAAUCUUUGAAAUUUCAUCAUGAUGGGGAUAAAUCAUUGCAAUUGUUGGUCUUCAAUGAGGAAUUCCUAGUACUACCCAUUGCUCUUUCAAUUGAAUGGUCUAAUAUCUAAUCCUUCAUGGCUAACUUCUUAGAGGGACUAUGGCCACUUACGCUAAGGAAGUUUGAGGCACUAGUAGGUCUGUGAUGCCCUUAGAUGUUCUAGGCCACAUGCACACUACACUGAUGUAUUCAACAAGUCUAUAGCCUAAGUAGAUAGGCCUAGGAAAUCUUUGAAAU
rnacentral:rRNA from 1 species